rnacentral:lncRNA from 1 species
AUCGUCUGCAGGGAUGCACAAUGGAGUCUGUUUCUCAGCCCUGGUGGAGCAGGGCUGCAAGGUGAGACAACCCAAACAGCCGCAGCUAUGAGAGGCAGUAAGUGAAUGUAACCUGGCAUUUCAGGGGAACAGAGCAGCAGUAACUGUACAGAUCGAAGCGAGAGGCAUCCCGAUGGUCACCGAGCUGGCAGAAGAUUUGACCUGCAGGGAUCUUCCCCCCAGUCAUUUGCAGUGGUUGAAAUGGUGAGUGUGAAUUAGUUUGUAG